rnacentral:rRNA from 1 species
UACAGAGGUCUCAAGCGUUGUUCGGAUUCAUUGGGCGUAAAGGGUGCGUAGGCGGCGCGGUAAGUCGGGUGUGAAAUCUCGGAGCUUAACUCCGAAACUGCAUUCGAUACUGCCGUGCUUGAGGACUGGAGAGGAGACUGGAAUUUACGGUGUAGCGGUGAAAUGCGUAGUAUAUCGUAAGGAAGACCAGUGGCGAAGGCGGGUCUCUGGACAGUUCCUGACGCUGAGGCACGAAGGUCAGGGGAGCAAACGGG